AGCCUUGCGUGUGCUCUUAUUGGUA
rnacentral:miRNA from 1 species